CGAACUAAAUCCUUGGUCGAACAGUACAAGAAGUUGGAGGUUGAUGAUGAUGACGUUGCAGCUGAAUUGAACAUCACUUCCUCCCGGCAGAACGAGGAUUGGGAAAAACUUAGGGAACGAAUUCGUUCCUUAUGGGGUAGACUGUAAUUAAGACAUACGAUGUCUUUUUCUCUUUUGUAAUUUUUGUUCAUUAUUAACGAACAUUAACUUCUUGUGCAUUUAUUUGACGUUUAUUUUCUAAUCAUCAAUUCUUUAAUCACUUAACUG
rnacentral:lncRNA from 1 species